UAUUGCUCGUGACCCAGCCCCGCCCACUAUUCAAAAUGGAGUUAUCAGGUAGCACAGUAACUGGACUGCAAUUGGCUGGUUCUUCUUCAAUAGAUGACAAGUCCUUCAACAGAUUGACUCAGUUAGUACUUCAAUCUAUAAUGGAGGACACUGACCCGUCCAUUAUACAAGAUGAUGGUAAAUUAUCAAAGAUAAAUCAAGGGAUGUUGAAGGAGUGCUACUCAUCAUUAAUUAUAUUAUUAAUUGAAGGUGCUCGAACUGACACUGAUACCACUGGAAUGAGGUCUACAUUGGAGGAUUGUAAAUUAACUCCUGACAGAAUUGAAGUAUUAGUAACACUUUAUAAUGAUAAUAAAGCAAAGCUAAGAGCAAGGUUGGGUAGAAUUCGUUCAUCAUUUCCUUACCUCACUGACGUCAACUGGAGAUUAGAUUAUUAUAUCAAAAGUAAUCAUUUGGAAAGAGUUGACAAACCAGUUUAUACAAUCAGUCUUAAUACUGAAUAAGGUGAUGGAAAGAAGAAAGAUGUUAUAUUUAGUUGCACACAAGAACAGCUCCAGGAUUUGGUCAGAAAG
rnacentral:misc_RNA from 1 species